rnacentral:lncRNA from 1 species
CACUGUUUAGAGAGUCCAGGCAACCACCAGUCCAUCUGCCUCAACAACCAGGCCACUCAAAAGCCUCAUUUCAAGGGCAAAACAUCAGAAAGGAGGAGCAAUGCAAAAGGCAAAAAAGGCUGACACAGAGCAUCCAAGCCCACCUUCACUUUAAAAGAACAGAAAGGAUAGCCUUAGCUCCUAUCAAUGGUAUCAAGGCUUCCUCCCUUUGACAAGUAGCCCAGCAUCUGCAGUUUCAUCUCUUCAUCUUUUUUCCCCCUGUAUGCACUUGUACAAAGCCAUAGCAGCUUCAUUGUAAGCUACAUGAAAUCCUAUUGGAUUCACACUGACUACGCGUGGGAUGGUCUUGCACGCCAGAAUGAUGGGAUAUCAAUGGUCCACUCGUCUGGAUUAAAGUGAGCUGGCAACCUGCAAGAAGUAACUCAGAACAUGGGUGUGUCACUGGUUUGACAUUAAGUAGAAGCUGCUUCCAUGUGGCAAUAGGACAGUGACAAGAACCUGAUUUAGCAGCUGCCACCCUGGGAAGUGACCACUCUCAGCUCUCCUUCCAGACAGAAGCAGCAUGGAAGGGGUAUCUGAGGUCUGUGUGUGACAUCAGGCAAUGCCAACCUAUCCAGGAAGCUGGGGCUAAACACAUCGAUGCUGCCCUGCACCACCUGGAACCUCCCUGAACCCAGACAGGAACAGCAUCUUUAAAGGGCCCAACUGUUUGCUUGGAAAGACUAUCACAUGUGAAAAAAGUCUGUAUGGGAUAUGCUACCAGUGACACAGGUUACCCAGAAACACUUCCUGCCCUACACUACUGUCCUGACUUUGGAAAAAUGUGACCAAAAAAACUUCAUGC